rnacentral:rRNA from 1 species
UACGUAGGGUGCAAGCGUUGUCCGGAAUUAUUGGGCGUAAAGAGCUCGUAGGCGGUCUGUCACGUCGGCUGUGAAAACUCGGGGCUCAACCCCGAGCCUGCAGUCGAUACGGGCAGACUAGAGUCCGGCAGGGGAGACUGGAAUUCCUGGUGUAGCGGUGAAAUGCGCAGAUAUCAGGAGGAACACCAGUGGCGAAGGCGGCCCGCUGGGCAGUGGCUGACGCUGAGGCGCGACAGCGUGGGGAGCAAACAGG